UUAAGGGAGACUAAGGCACAUACCGAGUAAACUCAUGUAAAAGCUUGGAUGGUUAGCCUAAUCCCAAGGUCGUAACGAGUGAUGGUAGCAAAAGUUUCAAACUAUUGGAUAGGUUCGUAGUAAAAAAAUCAAGGGCUAUUAGCUCAGGUGGUUAGAGCGCACCCCUGAUAAGGGUGAGGUCCCUGGUUCAAGUCCAGGAUGGCCCACCAGAUAAUUAUCCAAAUGGGAGAAAGACAACAGCACCUGUACCAACUUGAAAAAGAGGUGGUAGGGAUGCUGGAGCUUCACUCCAGUAAAUGAACCUUGAAAACUGCAUAGCCAGAUGUCUGCCCAGCAGGUGAGUAUCUUGAAAGACGAUUUGUAGGGGCGGGUUUAGGGUCACAGUUAACGGCUUUGACGAUAACUUUGAGACAAAACCCGCCCAGCAUAAUUAACCGAAAGAACUGACUGCAUUGGAAAGAAAAGAAAAAUUGGUCAAGCUAACAAGAGCUAAUGGU
rnacentral:tRNA from 1 species